rnacentral:rRNA from 1 species
GCAGCCGCCGCGGGAAUACAGAGGGUGCGAGCGUUAAUCGGAUUUACUGGGCGUAAAGCGUGCGUAGGCGGCUUCUUAAGUCGGAUGUGAAAUCCCUGAGCUUAACUUAGGAAUUGCAUUCGAUACUGGGAAGCUAGAGUAUGGGAGAGGAUGGUAGAAUUCCAGGUGUAGCGGUGAAAUGCGUAGAGAUCUGGAGGAAUACCGAUGGCGAAGGCAGCCAUCUGGCCUAAUACUGACGCUGAGGUACGAAAGCAUGGGGAGCAAACAGGAUUAGAUACCCCCGUAGUCCCUGUCUCUUAUAA